UUUCAAAGCCAUGAUAACCUGCAAUUUUUUUAAACUAUCACUAAGACCUUACUCAAUGUACACUUAAUUACGCCAUAUACUUCACUUAUUUUGAAGUUUCAUACGAUAAAAAAACCGUCCCAGAUAACCUUUACACACUCAUUACUCUUAUGCUCCCAUAACGAUACUUUAUUUAUACGACCAAGUGAAAAAAGUAUUGCAUUUUUAUAAAGUUUACUCAACCUUACCACCCUUGCGAACGAUCAAGUCCUUGCGGUCCUUGUCGAGGUGAAGCUUGGUAAUGACAACCUUAGAGGCGUCGAUACCGACGGGUGCAGAGGCACCGUUGGCCUUCUCGCGGGUGACACGCUCAAUAAGAAGAAGGAACUUCUUACGGUAGACGGAGGUGAUCUUGCCUUCGCGACCUUUGUUGGAACCACGGAUGACAGUGAUUUGGUCAUCACGACGAACUGGAAGAGAACGGAUCUUGUAUUGCUCUCUAAGCUCCUUGGAAAGAGGAGCAGACAUUAACACACGGCGUACAGAUGAAGGGGCGCCGAAGUGAGCCUUUCUCUGCUUGCGACGAGAGCUAGUGACAUCCCUGGAGAACUUCAUUUUGUGUCGUGGGUCUGGUGAAAAUGGUAGUUCAGCAUCUUGGAAUGUUUGUUGUGUGACAGUUGACAGUCACACUGAUUUUGCUUAGGUUAGGGCAAAUGCAUACCGGACUUCUCUAUAUCUCGUUACCUUUUGCAUAAACAUUUAACUCAAAAAAAAUAUAUAAAAGCAAAAUGAAUUUAAAUCGUUAACACUAAUUCUCUCAGUUAUUUACUAAAACAAUGAAGUUUUUAACCCCCGAUUGAUAAAGUUUUUAGCUUAUAUAAAAAAAUUUUAUUUUUGUUUAAACAGAUUUAAAGCAACCUGCUCAGUGGUUUCAUAACAACGAUAAAAUCAUCAUGUAGAUAAUUCAGUUAAAAUUUUUUAAAAGGACAAAAUCAAGAAUAGUAACUUAACUAUUUUUAUGUCUAUGCUAGAUGAAAGACUUUUCUCCAUUUUUUCUAUCACGUUCAAAAUUGUUUUAAGGGAAAACAAAAUUAGUCUAAUUAAGGAAAAAUUCUAACAACCGUGCUAGUUGCAUAGCUGAACCAAAAAAAG